rnacentral:lncRNA from 1 species
CACGAAGUCCUUACUUGUGGAUUUUGGUGAAGGUUAGCUUGGUCGAAACCCUUCUCUUCUCUGCUGCUGUGUAUUUGGACUGAAUUGUGGAUUUUGAUGUUGAUAGCUUGGAGAUAGCUUGAUUUUGAGACUCGGACAUUUUCAGUCGAUCCAGCAGGUUGUGCCGCAGCCGAGGGAGUUCCGUGCUGCCAGGAAUUGCACUAGAGGUGGGUGUAUCAUCGGUUUCGCUCCUAAGUGCAUGUUUAGUCGACGUGUAUAGUUCGAUUUUUGUAUAUCAUGCUUUAAUUCAUCGAUUAGCAUCUUGAAUGUAAUAUGAAUGUAGAAGCAUGCUGAAAUGAAUAUUUAAAUUAUACAUGUUGGACUUGAAAUUUGACUUAGGAGAAAACCUGCGUUUUGACCCGUCAUAUGCUUAAACUACCAGAUUUAGCUCUAGGAGCCGUGAUUCGAUUGUAUCGUUGCAGUAUCAGUGCGAUGGAUAUCUGGGGUAGUUUAGAAGGCAUUUACGCUCGUGCUGGGGUGCCGAGCUUAUUUUUCAGCAGAGUUUAGGCUGUUUCGGGUCGUUGGGUGCCGUUCGGGUUAGCGGUGGACCCAGAUUCUUGUUUUGGUCACAGAUUGUGCCGAGGGCACGUGGGUUUGGUUUGUAGACCUGUUUUGACCCUGUUCACUUGACUUUGGCUAGUUGGAGCCUGUUUGAGCUCGACAGAGAUACGCUGCAUACUCGGUUGGGUAGCGCCCACGAGUGCCACUCCGGAGUCAGGCUUUGUGCUUUCGCGUUGGUGUCGCUCAUGCCAGUUGGACUUGCUCUCCACGGACCAGUUAGUGUGGAUAGAGCCCGAUAGUCGCAACGGGGCAGGGACGGGUGUAUUCACAGUCCCGGGGACGGGUAUGCUUACAGUCCCGAUUGGAUUGGGUCAGAUUGGACAUUUCCUACAGUUGGUUAGUGUAGAGCAUGAUAGUGUAGUGAUCGAUAGCGGUAGAGUUUAUUUCCUGCUUUUCUGACUACUCUUGCUCCCUUCUGUAGACUUAGUGGGUGGACCGAUGUUGUUUUGGGCGGUACCCACUGAGGACUACUUGUUUUUACAGUAGUUCUCACGCCCAGUUGUUACCCCUGUUUUGCAG